rnacentral:rRNA from 2 species
GAUUAAGUUAUUAAGGGCGCACGGUGGAUGCCUUGGCACUAGAAGCCGAUGAAGGACGUUACUAACGACGAUAUGCUUUGGGGAGCUGUAAGUAAGCUUUGAUCCAGAGAUUUCCGAAUGGGGAAACCCAGCAUGAGUUAUGUCAUGUUAUCGAUAUGUGAAUACAUAGCAUAUCAGAAGGCACACCCGGAGAACUGAAACAUCUUAGUACCCGGAGGAAGAAAAAGAAAAUUCGAUUCCCUUAGUAGCGGCGAGCGAAACGGGAAGAGCCCAAACCAACAAGCUUGCUUGUUGGGGUUGUAGGACACUCUAUACGGAGUUACAAAGGACGACAUUAGACGAAUCAUCUGGAAAGAUGAAUCAAAGAAGGUAAUAAUCCUGUAGUCGAAAAUGUUGUCUCUCUUGAGUGGAUCCUGAGUACGACGGAGCACGUGAAAUUCCGUCGGAAUCUGGGAGGACCAUCUCCUAAGGCUAAAUACUCUCUAGUGACCGAUAGUGAACCAGUACCGUGAGGGAAAGGUGAAAAGCACCCCGGAAGGGGAGUGAAAUAGAACCUGAAACCGUGUGCUUACAAGUAGUCAGAGCCCGUUAAUGGGUGAUGGCGUGCCUUUUGUAGAAUGAACCGGCGAGUUACGAUUUGAUGCAAGGUUAAGCAGUAAAUGUGGAGCCGUAGCGAAAGCGAGUCUGAAUAGGGCGUUUAGUAUUUGGUCGUAGACCCGAAACCAGGUGAUCUACCCUUGGUCAGGUUGAAGUUCAGGUAACACUGAAUGGAGGACCGAACCGACUUACGUUGAAAAGUGAGCGGAUGAACUGAGGGUAGCGGAGAAAUUCCAAUCGAACCUGGAGAUAGCUGGUUCUCUCCGAAAUAGCUUUAGGGCUAGCCUCAAGUGAUGAUUAUUGGAGGUAGAGCACUGUUUGGACGAGGGGCCCCUCUCGGGUUACCGAAUUCAGACAAACUCCGAAUGCCAAUUAAUUUAACUUGGGAGUCAGAACAUGGGUGAUAAGGUCCGUGUUCGAAAGGGAAACAGCCCAGACCACCAGCUAAGGUCCCAAAAUAUAUGUUAAGUGGAAAAGGAUGUGGCGUUGCCCAGACAACUAGGAUGUUGGCUUAGAAGCAGCCAUCAUUUAAAGAGUGCGUAAUAGCUCACUAGUCGAGUGACACUGCGCCGAAAAUGUACCGGGGCUAAACAUAUUACCGAAGCUGUGGAUUGUCCUUUGGACAAUGGUAGGAGAGCGUUCUAAGGGCGUUGAAGCAUGAUCGUAAGGACAUGUGGAGCGCUUAGAAGUGAGAAUGCCGGUGUGAGUAGCGAAAGACGGGUGAGAAUCCCGUCCACCGAUUGACUAAGGUUUCCAGAGGAAGGCUCGUCCGCUCUGGGUUAGUCGGGUCCUAAGCUGAGGCCGACAGGCGUAGGCGAUGGAUAACAGGUUGAUAUUCCUGUACCACCUAUAAUCGUUUUAAUCGAUGGGGGGACGCAGUAGGAUAGGCGAAGCGUGCGAUUGGAUUGCACGUCUAAGCAGUAAGGCUGAGUAUUAGGCAAAUCCGGUACUCGUUAAGGCUGAGCUGUGAUGGGGAGAAGACAUUGUGUCUUCGAGUCGUUGAUUUCACACUGCCGAGAAAAGCCUCUAGAUAGAAAAUAGGUGCCCGUACCGCAAACCGACACAGGUAGUCAAGAUGAGAAUUCUAAGGUGAGCGAGCGAACUCUCGUUAAGGAACUCGGCAAAAUGACCCCGUAACUUCGGGAGAAGGGGUGCUCUUUAGGGUUAACGCCCAGAAGAGCCGCAGUGAAUAGGCCCAAGCGACUGUUUAUCAAAAACACAGGUCUCUGCUAAACCGUAAGGUGAUGUAUAGGGGCUGACGCCUGCCCGGUGCUGGAAGGUUAAGAGGAGUGGUUAGCUUCUGCGAAGCUACGAAUCGAAGCCCCAGUAAACGGCGGCCGUAACUAUAACGGUCCUAAGGUAGCGAAAUUCCUUGUCGGGUAAGUUCCGACCCGCACGAAAGGCGUAACGAUUUGGGCACUGUCUCAACGAGAGACUCGGUGAAAUCAUAGUACCUGUGAAGAUGCAGGUUACCCGCGACAGGACGGAAAGACCCCGUGGAGCUUUACUGUAGCCUGAUAUUGAAAUUCGGCACAGCUUGUACAGGAUAGGUAGGAGCCUUUGAAACGUGAGCGCUAGCUUACGUGGAGGCGCUGGUGGGAUACUACCCUAGCUGUGUUGGCUUUCUAACCCGCACCACUUAUCGUGGUGGGAGACAGUGUCAGGCGGGCAGUUUGACUGGGGCGGUCGCCUCCUAAAAGGUAACGGAGGCGCUCAAAGGUUCCCUCAGAAUGGUUGGAAAUCAUUCAUAGAGUGUAAAGGCAUAAGGGAGCUUGACUGCGAGACCUACAAGUCGAGCAGGGUCGAAAGACGGACUUAGUGAUCCGGUGGUUCCGCAUGGAAGGGCCAUCGCUCAACGGAUAAAAGCUACCCCGGGGAUAACAGGCUUAUCUCCCCCAAGAGUUCACAUCGACGGGGAGGUUUGGCACCUCGAUGUCGGCUCAUCGCAUCCUGGGGCUGUAGUCGGUCCCAAGGGUUGGGCUGUUCGCCCAUUAAAGCGGUACGCGAGCUGGGUUCAGAACGUCGUGAGACAGUUCGGUCCCUAUCCGUCGUGGGCGUAGGAAAUUUGAGAGGAGCUGUCCUUAGUACGAGAGGACCGGGAUGGACAUACCUCUGGUGUACCAGUUGUCGUGCCAACGGCAUAGCUGGGUAGCUAUGUGUGGACGGGAUAAGUGCUGAAAGCAUCUAAGCAUGAAGCCCCCCUCAAGAUGAGAUUUCCCAACUUCGGUUAUAAGAUCCCUCAAAGAUGAUGAGGUUAAUAGGUUCGAGGUGGAAGCAUGGUGACAUGUGGAGCUGACGAAUACUAAUCGAUCGAAGACUUAAUCAA